rnacentral:lncRNA from 1 species
ACGUCAUUUUCACACAUGUUUCAUGCUUGUGAAACGAUCAGCUCGACCCUCUCCCGUGCUGGUUUCAGAAUUUUUGGAUAUAGUGGUAGUGCAACUUGGAUGGUUUUGUGGAGGCCUAGUUAAAACGAGUUCAGAUCCACUCCAUUGCUUUAUCUUCCAUUCCACUCCAGAUUUUCUCCUGAUGAAUGACAUGUGGCAAUCAAACAUUUCAAUGGAUGUGAUUAACAACUAGUAAAAGUUUAAGAGAAAUAAUAAUAAUACCGUAGAAAGAAAACUACCAACAACAACAACAACAACGUGAACACUAACAACAACCACCCUCAUUUCUGUUGCCGCUGCCGAUCUCUGACUUCUUGCCGCCGCCGUAGCGCCACCGUCCAUCUCUAUCACACCGUCACGAAUCACCCAAAUUGCACCGCUAUUGUUCUUUGUCAUAUUAUUGAUUUCCAAAACUGCAAUUCUUGUUGAGUUUGAAAAAAAAAAUUUCACUUUGAUUAAAUCUGAUUUUGCCUAUGGAGAAGAAAAGAAAGGGGAAAGAACUGAAUAGAUUUUUUUAAUUUUAUUAAACAACUCUCUUUGAAUGUCAUCAUCAUCUCUCGUUGUUACCGUCUCUUUGACUGUCAUCACCAUCGCCGUCGCCAUCGCUGUUGAGUUUGAAUCGCCGUCGUCGUUUGAACGCAGUUAUUACUAGAAAAAGAGNNNNNNNNNNNNNNNNNNNNNNNNNNNNNNNNUCUCAUUCAAUGGGUUGUUGUUGGUACGUAGUUCACAUAUGUUUCUCCGUAACUUUUAGUUUUUAAUCACACCCAUUGAAAUGUUUGAUUGCCACAUGUCAUUCAUCAAGAGAAAACUGGAGAGAAAUGGAGGAUAAAACAAUGGAGUGGAUCUGAACUCCAAAUAUUUCUAAAGUUUUUUACUAAUUGAGCUGUUAUUAAAAGAUAUCACUAAUUUUAUUUUUAUUUUGAAUAGUACAUCACUAAUAAUAUAUUAUUCUAUCAAUGUUAGUGAAUUCAUAGAACAUUUAGUCUAUGACCUGCAUUCCUGCAAUAUGUUACUAUGUGAUGGUUUUUGUUCUCCUUCAUUCAUUUAGUCUAUGACCUGCAUUCAUGGUUGUUGUAAUUUAGUUGGUUUGGUGACUGAGAUUUGUAAGGUGUUAUUUGUUGGGCUAAUCUUUCCCUCACCGUCAAAACAGAAUCUCUGCGGAGCUUCAUCGCUUCUCUCCAAAAAUUUCGCGUUGCCGUGGUUUUAGCCAUUUACGUCGUUGUCUUUGUGUGUUUUUGUUUUGAGUUUAGUUGUUCUUCGUGAUUGUUGACUACUCAGCGUAUUCUCUUUUGAGUUGGUGUGGUUCUGAUAUCCCAAUAGGUUUGGCUUAUGGUGUUCUUGAUUUGGGUCUUUAUGUAUGGUGUGCAGCGACUCUUGGUUGGUUUAGGGGUUGUCGUUUCGGUUGUGACUGAUGCGACGAGGUUUAUUGUUGAGAAGGAUGGUUGGGGUGUUGGCACAGGUGGUUCUUUUGCUUUUGUUGUAUUUUUGGAGCGAUUUGGUUAGGGGUUUUUAAGGGAUGUAAUUGAAUUAGUAUUGACGAAUUUACGUGUUACGCUAUUUAUAUUUCUUACUUUGUGUUGUACUCUUAUGUGUACCGUGCUCGUCUUGGGCUCGGUUCCAUUAUUAAUAAAUUUUAGCCGUUAA